AGUGAACGCUGGCGGUAGGCCUAACACAUGCAAGUCGAACGGCAGCACAGUAAGAGCUUGCUCUUACGGGUGGCGAGUGGCGGACGGGUGAGGAAUACAUCGGAAUCUACUUUUUCGUGGGGGAUAACGUAGGGAAACUUACGCUAAUACCGCAUACGACCUACGGGUGAAAGCAGGGGAUCUUCGGACCUUGCGCGAUUGAAUGAGCCGAUGUCGGAUUAGCUAGUUGGCGGGGUAAAGGCCCACCAAGGCGACGAUCCGUAGCUGGUCUGAGAGGAUGAGCAGCCACACUGGAACUGAGACACGGUCCAGACGCCUACGGGAGGCAGCAGUGGGGAAUAUUGGACAAGGGGCGCAAGACUGAGCAAGCCAUACCGAGUGGGGGAAGAAGGCCGUCGGGUUGUAAAGGCCGUUUGUUGGGAAAGAAAAGCAGCAGGUUAAUACCCCGCUGUUCUGACGGGACCCAAAGAAUAAGCACCGGCUAACUUCGUGC
rnacentral:rRNA from 1 species